CCGAAACUUCAUGAGACCUUCCCUCGCUGUGCACGGACAAGUGUCUGACUCUGGAGCCCAGGCUGUUGCUUCCCGGUCUGGUGAUGAAUCCUCCAUAGUUUGAUGAAGGAACAGAAUGAAAGUCCCACAGUUGAGAGCCAAGAACAGGACCUGGGGGGUACACUGAUUCCUAGUACACAGUUGACUACAGAACAACAACAACAACAACAAAAUAAACCAAGUACAAUGGGAAAAACUGAAGAAAAUAGUUAAGUGGGACAAAGGCAACAAAGUAGGCAGAAUCACAAGAAGAAAGAAGACCAAGGGAAAAUUUCAAGAACAUUUUUUAAAGUAAGAAAGCAUGGAAGAAAUGACUGAAUAUUAUAAAUAUAGGAUGGUCCCUGUUUUGCUGGAAUAGCAGUCUGAAACCAUCAUUUAUCUUGGUCUGGGUGGAGCUGAGGUCUGGGAAUUCCCAUAUAAGGUAGUUUGUUCAUGCUUACUUCCUCAAGCACACAUUACACCUCCUCAUCUGAAAAAGGCACUGGAAGAAAAGAUUCUUUGGGAAUGACAUCCACACAUACAUUAAAGGCUGUGGUUUCCACUCCUAAUGGUUAGUAGAUUUGCCAAGACACAGCAUCCUCGCAACCCCCACCCAAAUACGGUUCAGCAUCUAGCAGUCAACACCACAGGGCCUUCCUGUGGUCACGACUGGCAGUGGUGAUAAAGGUCGGUAUGACCUUACUGCUCUCCAUAAAUAGCCCUUCAGUCAGUAAUGUCCUUGCAUGAUAUGGUCACAUUCUUUCAAGAGCAGCCCUGCUUUUAUGUAUGGUACCUUCCUUCCACAGAGCUUUCCAUCUCAGGUGAAGCUGCUUUCUUGCCCCACCAUAAUUCCUCUCAAUGACUUCAAAGCAGGGCCUCUACAUUCGAUUUUUUUUUAGGAUGAGUCUGUCUACCUUUUUUUUAGAGCUAUGCUGUCUACUUUGGUAGCCAGUAGUCACAUGUAGCAACUUGAAAUGUGGCUAGUCUGAAUUCAGAUGGACUUUAAAGUACCCACUGAAUUCUCCUGGUAACUUUAAAAUGCUGAUGACAUGAUAUGUAUAUAGCUUGGACAUGAUGACAGUUUGAUAUACUGGGUUAAAUUAAACAUAUUAUUAAAAUUAAUCUUCCCUAUCUCUUUUUUCCUGUUUUAAAUGGCUACUAGAAAAUCUUAAAACUACACAUGCUGCUUACAUUGUAUUUCUACAGGAUAGCACCAUUCUAGAUAGUAUAAUAAGCCCUGCUUAUUGAAUACGCUCAGUAGAAAGAAACCCUGGAAUCCUUUCAUUUCAAACGAUCUCCUGUCGGCCAGCCAACUUUCUUCAUUUGCAGGUGAGAUUCUUCAUCUGUAAUGUAGACAAAAUAAACCCCCCUCACAGACUGGUAAGGACUGAGAACACAAAGAAAGCAUUUUAAGCGUUCAGCAACACUAAAUGUGUUCUCAGUAAAUGUCACUUCCCUUUCUGUGGGUGCAUUCAGUAGCUGGUUUAGUCAUCUUGGGGUUAGUCAUGGAACGUCUGGAUUCCAACCCUCUUUGUUCCUUUUUCUCCACUCUAAUCACUUCCACAGAAUUCACCAUAACUUAGAGGGCAGGGGUCUGUGGUGAACUUUCUAAGCAAAAGCUACCCCUUCCCCACAGCUGAAUUUUUUACUCCUACCACUUGUCGACCAUAUCCUUCCCACCUCUUCUCUGCUGGUGCAUUCAUUAAUAAAUUAUUAAAAUUAAUCUCAAAAUUCUGGCUGCUGCUCAUUUUCUCCUUUGGGCUGUUACCAGUAGCUCACUGCUAUUGUCUGAAUUUAAAGGGAGCUUUGUUACUAUUCUAGCUAUUUCAUGUGUGAACACUUCCUUCCCCUCAAGUGCAUGGAUAUCCUUUACUUACCACUAGGGUCUCACCAGAUAUGUAAUGACUGAAGGAUUCUACAAUGGUCCUAGAAAUAAGUAAAAUAAAACUGAAUGUUGACUUUUAAUUACUGACCAGGCCAAUCAGGAUUACAGGAAUGAAAAGUACCUUUUAUGACUAAGAAAUCACAUCUGACUUGGCAGUCUGGUGUUAUUUCUGGCUGGUUUAUCUGUGGAAAAUUCACUUUAUGAUUUCUUCCCAGCUGUUGCUAGCAGUGUGCUAGGCUGGCAGCCCUAAGAGUUGAAUCAUCCCCAUGGAUGAUACUAUUUUCUCCUUCCCCACCC
rnacentral:lncRNA from 1 species